GACGAACGCUGGCGGCGUGCCUAAUACAUGCAAGUCGAGCGAACAGACAAGGAGCUUGCUCCUUUGACGUUAGCGGCGGACGGGUGAGUAACACGUGGGUAACCUACCUAUAAGACUGGGAUAACUUCGGGAAACCGGAGCUAAUACCGGAUAAUAUUUCGAACCGCAUGGUUCGAUAGUGAAAGAUGGUUUUGCUAUCACUUAUAGAUGGACCCGCGCCGUAUUAGCUAGUUGGUAAGGUAACGGCUGGCCAAGGCGACGAUACGUAGGCGACCUGAGAGGGUGAUCGGCCACACUGGAACUGAGACACGGUCCAGACUCCUACGGGAGGCAGCAGUAGGGAAUCUUCCGCAAUGGGCGAAAGCCUGACGGAGCAACGCCGCGUGAGUGAUGAAGGUCUUCGGAUCGUAAAACUCUGUUAUUAGGGAAGAACAUACGUGUAAGUAACUAUGCACGUCUUGACGGUACCUAAUCAGAAAGCCACGGCUAACUACGUGCCAGCCGCCGCGGUAAAAC
rnacentral:rRNA from 1 species